rnacentral:rRNA from 1 species
AGAGUUUGAUCAUGGCUCAGAAUGAACGUUGGCGGUGCGCCUUAUGCAUGCAAGUCGGACGGGGUUAUAUUCUUCGGAUUGUAACCUAGUGGCGAACGGCUGAGUAACACGUAAGUAACCUGCCUUGGAGUGGGAAAUAACCUGCCGAAAGGCGAGCUAAUGUCCCAUGUGAUAGCGAAGUUGAUGCUUUGUUAUUAAAGCCUUAGGGUGCUCCAAGAGGGGCUUGCGUCUGAUUAGCUAGUUGGUAGGGUAAUGGCUUACCAAGGCUGUGAUCGGUAGCUGGUCUGAGAGGAUGGUCAGCCAGAUGGGGACUGGGAUACGGCCCCAACUCCUACGGGAGGCAGCAGCAAGGAAUCUUGGGCAAUGAGCGAAAGCUUGACCCAGCGACACCGCGUGAGGGAUGAAGGCCUUCGGGUUGUAAACCUCUUUUCUUGGGGAAGAAUUCUGACGGUACCCAAGGAAUAAGCCUCGGCCAACUACGUGCCAGCAGCCGCGGUAAUACGUAGGAGGCGAACGUUAUUCGGAUUUACUGGGCGUAAAGGGAGCGUAGGCGGUUCCUUAAGUCAGAUGUGAAAUCUUCUGACUCAAUCAGAAGGCGUCAUUUGAUACUGAGGGACUUGAGAACAGCAGAGGGAAAUGGAAUCCCCAGUGUAGCGGUGAAAUGCGUAGAUAUUGGGGAGAACACCAGUGGCGAAGGCGAUUUUCCAGGUUGUUUCUGACGCUGAGGCUCGAAAGCGUGGGGAGCGAAGCGGAUUAGAUACCCGCGUAGUCCACACCCUAAACGGUGGACACUAGACAUGGGAGGUAUCGGCCCUUUCUGUGUCGAAGCUAACGCCUUAAGUGUCCCGCCUGGGGAGUACGGCCGCAAGGCUAAAACUCAAAGGAAUUGACGG